AGGACCUCACUAUGUAGCCCUGGAUGGCCUGGAACUCCUGCUCUGCGUGCCUCUGCCUCCCGAGGCGGGGAUGCCUGCCCGGUGUGGGUCAGCAUGCCAAGCUUGAUCGGUGCUCCUUAUGUACAGAGUUGGGGAUGAAUACCAGGUCUUGUGUGCUCUAGGCUUGCAUCUGUGCACACGGACCCUCCUACAUGCAAACCCCCACACGAACAGCCUCCUGAAAACACGGAUCCCCAUCAGCCUAAAGUGGUCUGGGAAAUGCUUGGUCUUCCUUACACUGAUUCCUGUGUCUUUUUGUUGGGCUUUGGGUUGGAAAACUCUAGAAGAACCUAGAUCAAAUUUUAGAAUUGAACCCUGAGGGUCCAGGCUUAGCUCACCCAGCAAGGCAGCUUCCCUGGCCUAUGCAGCACAGCCACCUGCCUUACGCUGAGCUCUGGCUCCUUCAGAGGCCUCUGGCAUUACCAGUGCUUCUUGGACAGUGUCUUGUUUCUGAACUUUAGGCCACAAAAUAGAACAGACUGGGGUGCCUUUGGACCCAAGGGUAGGAGGACAGAGCUGUACUCCCAACUGAAUUAGGAGGCAGAAAGACUGGGGGGUGGGGGGUGGGCAUGGCAUCCACAGAGAGGCAGGGGUGUGGGAACCCUCUGAGGGUGCCGGGCAGGGGCUGUGGGCCAGGCCUGGGAGCCUCGGGGAGGCCGGCAGGCACAGAGAAGGAGGCCUCCUACCAGACACUGUCUAGACGCAGCAAUUAUUGUCAGCUCGGAACACCCAGGCUCUGCCUGUGCAGCUGAAAAGGAGCUUAACAAAGAGAGAGGGAGGAAGAAGAAAGCGGAGCAGAGCCGCUCUGAGCCUGCCUGCCCGCCUGCAGCCCGCGGCUCUUUCUCUGCUUGGGCUCCCCCCCUCUUUGUGUUCCACAGGCACUGUUGAGGGGACAGCUCCUCACAGCUCAGAGAUGCCUGAUGGGGACAGAGCAGGAGGUGCAGCUCUGGGGCCCUGGCCAACUCUUCUGAGCUAGGCUUCUCAGAGUGGAUGCUGGGAAGUCUGGGUCUUGUCCACUUUAGAGGGCUCUAGCCUACACCCUUGUCAUACUGAUGGGGAGCCUUGGGUCACGGAAUGACAGCCUGACACCUACCCUCCUCUGCUUCCAAGGAGCCAGGCACUUUGUAGAUAGGGUUAGGGGUGGGGGCUCAGAGAACACAGUCAGCCGUGGGGUGGCUUCAGGUCUGUCCUUUAGAUCUGGGCCUUAUUCUUCUCACCCUUGGGAGGAGGUGAGAGGGCAGGGCCAGCAUAGCUUUGAUGGGAAGCCCACCCUCCCCCGCCAGGACAGGGUUUCUCUGUGCAGCCCUGGCUGUCUUGGAACUAACUCUGUAAACCAGGCUGACCUUGAACUCAUAGAGACCCUCCUGCCUCUGCCUCUUGAGUGCUGGGAUUAAAGGUGUGUGCCAUCACUGCCUGGCUGGAAGACUGUUAUUAGCCGUGGCAGGCCCUUCAGAGCUGGAAGAUGAGCACUUUGGAUUCCAUAUGUGUCCUAGAACCUUCCCCCUCCUCUCAGUUGCCAUUCCCGAGACCCCCUUGGCGUUGGCAGCAGUGGUGCUCAGAGUGUAGGGGUGGAGCCUCAAGGCCCUGGGUUUCUGCAGCUAAAAACACAGCUCAGGAUCAGCAGAUGCUCAGACAGAGAAACUGAGACACGCUGUCCCUGAACUCAGUUGCAAGCCACCAGCUGUUCCCCUUAUCUCCCUGUUCCAGGGCAUCUGGGCAGGGGCUCUGCUCUCAGCCCAGUCUGUAGCUCUAACUCUACCCACUAGCUUAGGCUCAUGGAAAGGACCUACUGUGUGCUCAACUCUGCUCUCCUCUUGCCAGCAGUUGGGGUUGGGGGCCGGGUGGGGAGUGACUUGGUGGGUGGGCACCUUCUACAUCCUGUGGAGGUAAUGAGCAGUCCCAACCUACUGCUGGGGAAAGGCCUGAAGCUGGUCAGGGCUCCAGAGUGACUGGGUAGGGGUAGCUGGGUCCCUCUCAAUCCUUCUCAAUUAGAGACAAGGCCCUCAGAGCAAGAAACAUGCAUACCUGCCCUUACAUCACACCCGAGGCCUCUUGAUCUGUCCCCAGGACCUUCCCAGGCUCCAGGCAUCGGCCUGGCCUGCCCGAGGCUCAGCCCUGCUGGCCACACACUGUCUUGUCUGCUGUGUCUCCCAGUACUCAAUUAUAGGAACAGAACCCUCCUCUCUCCCUCUGCACCAUUACCAUAACAAACCUGAUUCCCCUGCCUAUACUGCAGACCCACCGGGAUCAGCCGGUCCACCAGGAUUCUAGCAUAUUCUGCAAUGCCACUGCAGCUCCCUCAGCCCUCCCCACUGGGUCUUCCUUUCACCUGGCGCUCUGAGCCAUCUCUACCAGACCCUCAAAUAUGCGAAGCUGCCAGCCUGCUCCUGUGAGUUGUCCCCUGCCUCCUGAACAGCACCAGCCCUCCCUGUCACAUAGCCAGCCCAGACAGCUUUCUGAUUCCUCCCGCAUCUGCACUAGGCUGGUCUUCCACCAUGGCACAAACCAAGCUUGAGUUCAGCCCCCAGUUCCUAGCCUCUGGGAGCUUUGGAGACCUGUUCUCUCUGCUCCAUAAAAGCCUGCCAAACCUUCCAGAGGCAGGAAUUGAUAGACCACUUGGAUCUGAGGCCUGAAGACUGCCAGUCCUGUCUUCCCUGGCUUCGCAUUAGUUGAGUUAGUCAUCCCAGUAGAUCCUCAUGCACCCUUCUCUAGGACACUUCUGACCCCUGCUGAGAUCACACACACAGCCAGUCUGCCUAAGUCCCUGAUAUUUCAGCCUUCUUGGGGGCACCCAAUGCAUUUUUUAUGGCUCGCCACGCCUGCGAGCCCUGUGGGCCAGCUGUCUCUGGCUUGUCUCACUCUGUGAACCCAGCUCCUGCUUCUGAGGUGCCUUCCCAGCCUGACACCACCUAGAGGGCCUCCAUGCAGACUCCCAGGAGUCACCGUGAAGGCCAGAACAAGGCUGUGCCAUUGUGCUGCCCACUGACCUGAGAGCACUCCCAGGAGCUGGAACUGCCUUGUGCCCAGUUCCUCCCUCAAGCCCCCAUGCAACUAGGCCAGUCCACAAGGACAGGAGGAUGGAUUCCCACCAUGACAUUGCUGUGUUUUUACAAGGACAAAGCCAAACAGCCCGAGAACCUGCCAACUGGAGGUUCUGGAACACUCUCUGCGUGGUCUUCCCGAGCAAGUCUUCUAGGUUGGAACCUCUGGCAGGAGCAGAGGCCAUGACUUGAACCCAGACCUGUCAUCGGUAGUGCUCCCAACUGCAGUCAUCCCUUAACAGCUGGCCAGGUUCCAGGUCCCUUUCUCCUUCCAGCCUCUGUUUACCCAGCUUGCACAAUCAGCUCAUAAGUCUACAAUUUUUUUCUUUUUUACUCUGAAA